UGUAAAACCGUCACGUAAAACAAAUAAACAUUAAAUGUCCUCUGCCGAAGUGCUAUCUUACAGUGAUAAGAAAAGGUGGACAUGCUAAUAAGAUUAGCACUCAUGUUACGGUAAAAUGUAAUCCUUCAAACAACACACACGGAGCAGAUCAAAAGUGGGGUCGUUUCUGGGUGCUCUGGACAGGAUGUGUUGGACUGUCCAUUCUUCACGGAGAGCGUGAGGUCACAGGAAGUGAGAUGGACGUGGCUAACAAGUCUAACAAGCGGAUUCAAACGUGGCCUUUCCUUGGGGGACGCCAGCAGCUCCGUCAUUAAGUGGACCGCAAAAAUGUCUCAUGACGAAAACACAAGAAGCGGGAUUACAACUCUACAAACUAACACAGGGUGCUCCAGACUUGGAGGACCCCCCCCCUCCUGAAGACAAGUCAGGUCCUCGAGUCAAUUGUCCGCCCGGCAACAGAGGUCUGCCGGUUUUGUUCACGGGCUUCUCAUCCACUCCAAGCGGACACGCCGCCACCGAGACCCUCAGAGGCUUUGACGUGACCCGCUUGUCACCUAUUGUUGCUUUAAUCCCUCCUUCUUCUCCCCAUCUGGAAUGCCGGCCGGCCGACGUCUGGAUCCACUCCUGGCUCUUUAAUACCUCCCCCAAGGAGCCGGCCUGCCUGCUUGCUUGCUCUCUGGAAGUGGGAACACAAAUCAAAGCGGGUAUCAUGACAAACAUUUCUUUUCUAAGAGUCCAUUCCAUAAAGUCCCCAAAAAAAUCAUCUCUCAGCUUUUACCGCCAUAUUUGGAGAGUGAAUGAUUGUGUCUCAGAAUUCAAGUGCAUUUUAACGAGCGAUAAACUGAUAUAGGGAAAAUAUUGGUGACGCAAUUUUUAACAAUACAAACUGCAACACUUUGUUUGAAUGCCUUUAAGCUUAUUUUUAUUAAACAGCUUUUCAGAUUUACAUCAUGUUAACAGACAGUAGACAUCUUUCUUUUAAAAUUGUAAUGAAAAGUGCAGUAAGUUCCCAGACUCAGCAGCAUUUCAUGUAAAGUUAAAUGAAAACUGAAACAAAUACUGUAGCUCCCUAAAGUUUUCGAACAGUAAAUAAAGUUUUACAAAAUUUCAAUAUAGCUGAAAGAAAAUUAUCUUUCACUUAUGUUUGUUUUAAGUUCAAACAACAACAAAAAGUGCAGGGAGUUUUUAGGUUCAGCAGCAUCUCUAAUAAAGUUAAAUUUUAAGUAAAAAAAAAAAUAUACCCAGUUUUAAAUUGAUCUCUUAUCGGCCGUCGGAUUUUAAAAAUGUUUGUUGGUAAUAUGUGUUAAAAUGCCAAAUAUCGGUGCCAAUAAUAGAAUGUAAUAAUUUAACCCAGCCGAUAAUCUGUCUACCCCGAAUUACGACACAGUGUGAAUGCUCACCUCUCAGCAUUUGCACGUUUUCGACGUAUCAGUUGUAAGGGUUGUCUCUCAGUAUUUACACACAUUUUUGGAGCGUAACCGAUCAUGUCUCAGCAUUCGAGUGCAUGCAUAUUUUUUAUUUUUUUUACAUUCACAUUAAUAUUGUUGCUCAGUUUUUCUCCACAUUGGGAC